UACGGAGGGUGCAAGCGUUAUCCGGAAUCACUGGGUUUAAAGGGUGCGUAGGCGGCUUAGUAAGUCAGUGGUGAAAGACUGUGGCUUAACCAUGGAAUUGCCAUUGAUACUGCAGAGCUUGAAUCAGGUUGAGGUUGGCGGAAUGUGACAUGUAGCGGUGAAAUGCUUAGAUAUGUCAUGGAACACCGAUUGCGAAGGCAGCUGACUGGACCUGUAUUGACGCUGAGGCACGAAAGCGUGGGGAGCGAACAGG
rnacentral:rRNA from 1 species